AGGCUAUCCGUUGAUACAUCAGUACCCAAUCAUUUGAGAGUUUAGACAGUUCUUCAUUAACUAAAAUGCAUUCAUUAAAAUUGGUAUCGGUGUGGUUGAUAGUACUUCUAUCAGCUAUAUUGGCUUUAGCACAAGGCUUUCCACAAGUAGAGCAGCGGCAAAGGUUUACGGACGGAAACGACAAACUGGUACUUCCUGAAGAGCAGAGUUUAGAGUCGCAACGAAGCCAUUGGCGAUCGAAACGCGCACUAUGUACCGGAAAGUUCAGUAAAAUACUCAUUCAACCUUGUUUCUUCCACUGUCAAACGUUUGGAAUGAAGGGAAAGUGUAGCGAAGACAGAAAGUGCAACUGUGUUCCAUUCUAAUAAAUGUAAACUAAUUUAUAUAAGAUUUGUAUUACCGUCGUGCGGGGUGACAUUGGUCCAUAAGGGUGACUUUGGGCCAAGAUUUUUACA